rnacentral:rRNA from 1 species
UACGUAGGGGGCAAGCGUUGUCCGGAAUCAUUGGGCGUAAAGAGCGUGUAGGCGGCCAGAAAAGUCCGCUGUGAAAACUCGAGGCUCAACUUCGAGCUGUCGGUGGAAACUUUCUGGCUAGAGUCCGGAAGAGGAGAAUGGAAUUCCUGGUGUAGCGGUGAAAUGCGCAGAUAUCAGGAGGAACACCGGUGGCGAAGGCGGGACUCUGGGCCGAUACUGACGCUGAGGAGCGAAAGCGUGGGGAGCAAACAGG